GAUGAACGCUGGCGGCGUGCCUAAUACAUGCAAGUAGAACGCUGAAGGAGGAGCUUGCUCUUCUGGAUGAGUUGCGAACGGGUGAGUAACGCGUAGGUAACCUGCCUGGUAGCGGGGGAUAACUAUUGGAAACGAUAGCUAAUACCGCAUGACAACAGUUAUUGCAUGAUAACUGUUUAAAAGGGGCAACUGCUCCACUACCAGAUGGACCUGCGUUGUAUUAGCUAGUUGGUGAGGUAACGGCUCACCAAGGCGACGAUACAUAGCGGACCUGAGAGGGUGAUCGGCCACACUGGGACGGAGACACGGCCCAGAGUCCUACGGGAGGCAGCAGGAGGGAAUCUUCGGCAAGGGACGGAAGUCUGACCGAGCAACGCCGCGUGAGUGAAGAAGGUUGUCGGAUCGUAAAGCUCUGUUGUAAGAGAAGAACGAGUGUGAGAGUGGAAAGUUCACACUGUGACGGUAUCUUACCAGAAAGGGACGGCUAACUACGUG
rnacentral:rRNA from 1 species